GGUGGCGUGUCCGAGCGGCCUAAGGAGCGCGCCUCGAAAGCGCGUGUGGGGGCGACUCCACCCAGGGUUCGAAUCCCUGCGCCACCGCCA
rnacentral:tRNA from 2 species